CACACACACACACACACACACAUACACACACAAACACAGCAAAGGGGAUUAUUAUUUAUUAUGCAUUUUUCUUGGGCCAGAAACUCUGUCAGGUGCUUUUAGAUAUGUCCUCUCUAAUCUUCACUCCAAAUCCUCAUGUGAUAGGAACAAGCUCAAAAACAGAAAGAAGUUCAAUUUGACCAAUAAUUACUUUUAAGAAACUAAAUUCCAAAUUUUUCCCAGGAUUUCAGAAAUGUUGAAUUAUGGUAUGAUACUGGUGUAGAGAAAACUCCUUCUUUCCCGUAGCUGAAUUUUGUCUCACUCUUCACUUUACAGGAUGUGUUUUUACCUGAGUUAAAAACAAGUUUUUAAAAAAAAUUAAAAGUUGGGAGACAGAUUAAGAUGGUGGACAGGAGGCAGGACUAGCUUGCAGCUCCCACUUGGAUGGUCAGAGCAGUGUGUGGAGACUCACAUCGUUAACUUUUGCUCCAAGAACUACUGCAGGAACAUACCAGGAAAGCUGAGAGAAUCCACAAACGCUUUGAAGGAACUGGAUCACUGCUGCAGGCUCCCUGAGACACCAAAAAAUGAGCAAAAUGAAGCCAUAAAAAUAUCUACCAACCCUGGGAAGCUCUUGCAUAAAUGACUGGUGUUUAUUGCUAAGAAUCCCUUUAAAUAGAGCUUCAGAAGGCCACAAUCAAUUGCUUCAAAAGACUUUAGCAGAAUAACUAUCAUCAUCAAGAUGCAUGAGGUCAGCAGUUUACAACAACAUUUGAUGGAGUCUUACUCUGUCAACCCAGGCUGGAGUUCAGUGGUGAGAUCUUGGCUCAUCGCAACCUUCGCCUCCUUGAUUCAAGCGAUUCUCCUGCCUCAGCCUCCCCAGUACCUGGGAUUACAUGCAUGUGCCACCAUGCCUGGCUAAUUUUUGUGUUUUUAGUAGAGAUGGGGUUUUGCCAUGUUGGCCAGGCUGGUUUCAAACCCCUGACCUCAGGUGAUCUGCCUGCCUCAGCCUCCAAAAGUGCUAGGAUUACAGUCAUGUGCCGCUAUGCCCGGCUAAUUUUUGUGUUAUGGUAAUACAAUUAUUUGCAUAAGUGUAAUAGAAAUCUGUUUUCAUUUGUAAUAGGAUGCAAUUGGAGGACCUGGUUAUUUUACCAAGUCUUGGACUGGAAUGGUGUGCUUUCCUUUAAGGAAUCAAACUUGACUUACAGAGCCAAUAAAUCCCCUUGGGGAAACUGGCCUUAUAUCUUUGUCCAUUCACCCCAGUACAGGGUUCCUGACCUGUGGUAAGUAAAGAAUGUCACUUUCUGACAGGUCUAGGUCCCCAAGUUUAUCUUGGAACCUCGAGAGAAUCACCCAACUCACAGGUAUUUGAUGGCACACAUCCAUGGCUUGGCUCAGCUUUAAAAAAGUGUUACCCAAGAUUCCUUCUAUGAAACAAAGUCCCAGCAAAGCCAAUUUAAAAGCCUAUGUAAAAAAUAAUUACUCUUGCUGCACUGUAUACAAACAAUUAGGCCAAGUGGAAUAAAGCAAGACAAUUCUACCAUGAUUUGUCUUUAGCAAAAAUAGGAAACUGGAGAGAUAAAAAUUAUGUUUCCAAAAUUAUAGUACACCUAUUGUUAGAUUCUCAUCUUGCCUAAUGUUUUUCAAUUUUUACUAUUUUCUACAAUUUGGGCUAAAUUGUAAUUUUUUCUUGGCUACAAGUCUUCAAAAUAUGUUUUCACUUUUUUUCCUUUUUUCCAUUUUUCCUAAUUGGGAGUCACUGAAAACUAAGAAGUGCUUUCUUAAAGCCCUGCAAACUGAAACUAGACAACUUAAACUUCAGAACAAAAUAACAGUAACCUAUUUACGUACAUAAGCCACUUUUUUUUUUUU
rnacentral:lncRNA from 1 species